UGCCGAGCUCGGUAACGUGGGCUUUCACCCAAGUGGGGGGCAAGGGCAUGGUCUCGGUUGCUGGCAGCACAAAAAUUCCACAUUCCACAUUCCACGAUCUAAAAAAUAAAAAUCAAUGAAUUAAAAAAAAACAUUGCAGCAACUGGGACCAUUCCCUUUUCUUCAUUUUUCCUGUGUAAGCCACAAAUAAACUGUAGAAAUUUAGCUGGCUAGCGUUUGAAAUAUUUUUGUAGGUGUGCAUAAUCCCAUAGAUAGCAAGCGUCAUAUCAAAAUGUUUAUAUGGUAAGGGGUUACGAUUAGGUUUCUUGUUGUUUAUAUUGUCUGCUCUGUUUGAUAUUUCUUUUUUCUAUCAUUUUUAGUGGUUAAUCAAUACUUUUUCUGUUGAAUAAUGUUGUAUGUGUUGUAGCUGCUGUGGGGUGAUUGUAUAACUUAAUAGAAUGGUUUGUUAAUUCAGCUGAUAAUCCUUUUUGGAAAUUGAAAAAUGUAAUGACAAUAACGGAAGUAGUUCAUGACUUGCUAGAUUCUAUUCCACAUCGACAUCAUCAGUGGCUCCAAUUUGGUAUAUAAAGUUCAUUUCCUUAUCCUACGAAUGCUAGGCUCGGUAAUGUGGGUUUGUACCCCGAGUGGGGGCAUUAAGGGUAUGGAAUCAAUUGCUUGCAACCCAAAAAAAUUCCACAUUCCACUAUCUAAAAAAUAGAAAUGAAUGAAUUCAAAAAUGUUGCAGCUGGUUGGACCAUUACCUCCUUCAUUUUUGCUGUUUAAGGCACAAUGAAACUGUAGAAAUUUAGCUAGCUAGCAUUUGCAGUGUUUUUGUAUGUGUACAUAAUCCCAUAGAUAGCAAACAGGUUCAUUUUUCCUACUUAAGCCACAAGGAAACUACAGAAAUUUGGCUAGCUAGUGUUUGCAAUAUUUUUGUAUGUAUACAUAAUCCCAUAGAUAGUAAGCAGGCGUCAUAUAACAAUGUUUAUAAGGUAAGGGGUUAUGAUUAGGUUUCUUAUUGUUUAUGUUGUCUGCUUUGUUUGAUAUUUCUUUUUUUUCUGUCAUAUUCGGUGGUUAAUCAAUACUUUUUCUGCUGAAUAAUGUUGUACAUAUUGUAGCUGCUGUGGAGUGAUUAUAUAAUUUACCAGAAUGGUUUGUUAAUUUAGCUGAUAAUCCUUUUUGGAAAUUGAAAAAUGUAACGACAAUAAGGGAACUAGUUCAUGACCUGCUAGAUUCUAUCCCACAUCGACGCAACCAGUGCCUCCAAUUCAGUAUAUAAAGUUCAUUUCCUUAUCCCACGAUCGCCGAGCUCGGUAAUGUGAGCUUUCACCCAAGUGGGGGGCAAGGGCAUGGACUCAGUUGCUGGCAGCCCAAAAAAAUUCCACAUUCCACGUUCCACGAUUUAAAAAAUAAAAAUCAAUGAAUUAAAAAAACGUUGCAGCAACUGGGACCAUUCCCUUUUCUUCAUUUUUCCUGUUUAAGCCACAAUUAAACUAUAGAAAUUUAGCUAGCUUGCGCUUGCAAUAUUUUUGUAUGUGUGCAUAAUUCUAUAGAUAGCAAGAGUCAUAUCACAAUGUUUAU
rnacentral:lncRNA from 1 species